GAGCUUCCUGGAAUUGUAAAAGGCUGUGGAUAUUUGUGUGGCUGCUCAUUAUGCUUUUUUUUUCCAAGGUAAGUUGUUUUAUCUCAAUUUUUUUUAUUUUUUUAUUUUUUUGUGGUCAUUUGGCUGGUUUUUUGCAUUUUGUUUGGUUUACCAUACAAUUGAAUGGUAUAAGCAGAUACUCAGUGCCUAUGAGUUUGAGUUGCAUGCUGGUGGCAAAACUAGACACUUGAAUAACCACAUAUACUUGGAGAAUGGGAAGCCAAUAUAUAGUGUAAUCCAAGAACUCAAGACUGCACCACAUAGUGUACUAGAUGAAGUGGUAAAGAAAGUUGCCGGUUCAUCUGUCAAUGAAGAGUCUUUCCAGGCUUGGAAAGAAAGUCUCCAAGAAAACAGUCAUAUGGUUAAAGCUGAGAAGAGACGUCACAUCAGUGUUCCUGGGAUGCAUCAUGCUACCACAAGUGGUCAAACGAUAGAAGACAGCCUUUGCCCUACUUUGUCUUCCUAUGUUCCGAACUACAAUUU